rnacentral:lncRNA from 1 species
AAAUAUUCCUCUCAUUAUACAGGUGGGCGCCUAUUUAAACUAAGGCUGAAAAUAUUCCUCUCAUUAUACAGGUGGGCGCCUAUUUAAACUAAGACUGAAAAGUAUUCCUCUCAUUAUACAGGUGGGCGCCUAUUUAAACUAAGACUGAAAAGUAUUCCUCUCGUUAUACAAGUGGGCGCCUAUUUAAACUAAGACUGAAAAGUAUUCCUCUCAUUAUACAGGUGGGCGCCUAUUUAAACUAAGACAUGAAAAGUAUUCCUCUCGUUAUACAGGUGGGCGCCUAUUUAAACUAAGACAUGAAAAGUAUUCCUCUCGUUAUACAGGUGGGCGCCUAUUUAAACUAAGACUGAAAAUAUUCCUCUCGUUAUAC